CUUAACACAUGCAAGUCGCACGAGAACACCUCAGCUUGCUGGGGUAAGUAAAGUGGCGCACGGGUGAGUAACGCGUGGGUAAUCUGUCCUUGAAUUCGGGAUAACCCCGCGAAAGCGGGGCUAAUACCGAAUGACAUCAUGAAGGCUUCGGCUUUUUUGAUUAAAGGUGGCCUCUCCAUGGAAGCUACCGUUUGAGGGUGAGCCCGCGUACCAUUAGCUUGUUGGUAGGGUAAUGGCCUACCAAGGCGACGAUGGUUAGCUGGUCUGAGAGGAUGAUCAGCCACACUGGAACUGACACACGGUCCAGACUCCUACGGGAGGCAGCGGUGAGGAAUUUUGCGCAAUGGGGGGAACCCUGACGCAGCAACGCCGCGUGAGUGAUGAAGGCCUUCGGGUCGUAAAGCUCUGUCAUGUGGGAAGAACCCAUCCCAACCCAACACGUUGGGGUGUUGACGGUACCACAGAAGGAAGCACCGGCUAACUCCGUGCCAGCAGCCGCGGUAAUACGGAGGGUGCAAGCGUUAUUCGGAAUUAUUGGGCGUAAAGGGCGCGUAGGCGGCCCGGCAAGUCAGAUGUGAAAUCCCGGGGCUUAACCCCGGAAGUGCAUUUGAAACUGCCUGGCUUGAGUAUGGGAGAGGGAAGUGGAAUUCCUGGUGUAGCGGUGAAAUGCGUAGAUAUCAGGAGGAACACCGGUGGCGAAGGCGGCUUCCUGGACCAAUACUGACGCUGAGGCGCGAAGGCGUGGGGAGCAAACAGGAUUAGAUACCCUGGUAGUCCACGCAGUAAACGGUGAUCACUAAGUGUAACGGGUAUUGGCCCCUAGCUGUGCCGGAG
rnacentral:rRNA from 1 species